rnacentral:lncRNA from 1 species
GCGCCCAGACGAGCAAGGCUGAGAGCGACACGGCAAGUCUAGCGCGCUGAACGCCCGUCCGUCUCGGGAACCAAAGGGGAAAUUCCCUGCUGGAGCGCCUUUGGAGUCUCCGCUCCAGGCAGAGAAAUGGUGCGGGCGACCUUCUUUAUUACGCAAUAGAGAAAUUAGGACAAUGGGUGGAGGAGGUGAUUUGAGGAGCUACAUCAUGCAGUUAUCUGUUUUAAGCUGUUUAACAAGGACUCUUUGCAUCAGUAAAUAUCCAGCCACGCCACAAAGCCUUCUACUACAUUUAACUGCAGUCGGCCCCGUUCCUCUGGGCAGACAUGACACUCCAAGCUGUGCUAGAGACAGUAGAAAAUGGGAAGCAAGAUACUGUCCUUAAGGUGCUACAGACCUACAACCAGGAGGUGAGUUUUCAUUGGGAAUUGUGGCACCCUGACGGAGUGCUGAACAAU